AAGGAGAGAUGGGGUGGGGCUGCGGGGGAGGCGGCGGGUGAGUGGAUAGAACCCUAACCCUUGAGGUUGGUAAAUGGGAAGCAAUCUGGUGCUUUCUCGCUGCCCCACUCCUUCAGAAUCGCUGAAGGGGACCAGAGAGAAGGGGCGGAUACAUCACAGGCGUGGCCCAGGGGGCCAGUUCCACUCUCUCAAAGUCCACACUGCUGGGCAUCUGCAGCCCCGAGGGGUCAUUGAUAGGAGCCUCCCCCCGGGGGUCAGGCUGUAGUUGGAGUUUGCUGCUGCUGCUGCUGGCUGGCCUGGAGGAAAGAGGCGCCUGGAGGUCUGCCGCUUGGCCCCAUUUGAUGCUGGAAAGCGUUACUCAAAGCAGGCCUUCCCUGGGAACCCACUAAUCACACUUAAAAAACUUUCCUGCUUCCCCAAACUUUCAUCCUCCUGGACCAUCCGGUCUCCAGGCCCCGGCUCAAGGGCCCAGAAGGAGUUGCAGGGGAGAGUGGAUCCACAGGGGAGCCCGGUCCUCAGAGUUCUGAAGGCCCCUGGGGUGGUGGGACAGGCCUGGGCCUCUCCGGCGAUCUUCCCUGUACCGUGGGCGACUUCUGGGCUGUGUGUGCUGGGGACUGAGUCCUGACCUGUGACCCAGAUUCUGAGGCAAGGAAGAAGGCCGGACUCUUCCGGGAAGUGUGGACGGUCUAUGUGGAGGAGCCGUGUUCUUUCUGCUACACCAUACUGACGAGACAGCAAGCUCCUUCCCCAAGAAAGAAGGCUGAUGGAGGUUCCAGACACUUCCUCCUUCCUAAGGAAGAGUUCCUCGAGACAACGCAGCUUACAAGGUGUUACCGAAUAGUUCAAAGGAAGCUGCGUUCAUGUUCACGUAAAGUGUUCAUAGGAAGCCUGCUUUUCUUCCUGUUUAUAUGAAGAAAGUAUAAACGUCGCAAAGCUGGGGUGGGGGGAAAUCUUCAAAACACAAAAAUAAACAAUCUUCCUUCUGAAAGAUGUAUACGUUUUCUUACAAAGGAAAAAACUCGGUGCAAAAGAGCAGGAAACUCCAGACAAGUUGCUGUGACCCGUAAGAGCAUAUGAGAGAUCUGUGGGUUUAUGGAGGAUGAGAUGUUCCCAGUCCUGGGUGUGAACGACAGGCUCCCAGUGUCAUCACUGCACGGGGAGCCUUGAAGGACGAGAAAGUGCCCAGCACAGGAGGAGCACUUCGGCUUUAUUUUAAUUUUUAAAAAAUUUUUAUGUUGAUUUUUGAGAGAGAGAGAAUGAGUAGGGGAGGGGCAGAGAGAGAGGGAAACACAGAAUCUGAAGCAGGCUCCAGGCUCUGAGCUGGCAGCACAGAGUCCGACGUGGGGCUCAAACCCACGAACUGUGAGACCGUGACCUGAGCUGAAGUCAGAUGCUCAAUUGACUGAGCCACCCAGGUGCCCCGGCAUUGAAAUACUUGAGUCACAAGAGCCUUAUUACUGACACUGCCUGAGAGACCCUUUAAAGCGUGAUUACUGUUAUGGAUAAAGAAACAUUUUCAGGUCACGGAUCCACAGCUAAUGCCUCAGAGAGAAUCUACAGAGUGGUGUUGGGUCCUUAAUGUUGUUUGCUUGUUUAAACAAUCUGAUGAAAUAUCUCGUGUGAUACUCCCCCAUUAACUGUGAGCAGGACCUGUAAAUAUGAUAUCACUCCCACGAGUAGAUUCCAUUAUGUGGUAAAGGUGAAGGGAUUUUGCAGAGGUAAUCAAGGCCCCUAAUCACCCGACUUUGAAUUAAUCACGAGGGUGAUUAUCGCGGGUGGGCCUGACCUAAUCAGGUGAGUCCUUUAAAAGAGGGUCUAGGAUCAGAAACUGAAGGAGGCAGGGAGAUUCGAAGCAGUACAGAAGUCCUCCUGCUGACUUUACAGAAGCAAACGACCAUGUUGUGGAGAAGGCCAUAUGGCAGGGAAUGGCAGGACACCUCUAGAUGCCGAAGGCCUCAAGCCUAUAACUGUAAAGAACGAAUUCCACCGAACAACCGAUGAGCUUGGAGGAGAAGCCCAACGUUCCGAUGAAUCCACAGCCCCGGCUGACAGCUUGAGGUCAGCCUGGGAAGACCCUGAACAGAGGACCUAGUUAAGCCGUGCCCAGACUUCUGACCCACAGAAACCAUGCGAUAACAAGGCGAGUGCUGUUUUAAAGCCUCUAAGUUUACGGUAACAUGUUACACCCCAACAGAAUAUUAAUACAGGGCAUAUGGGCCCAUGUUGCAGAAAUGCCUGUUGCUAACAGAACUCAUGGGACGCUGUUUUCAGCUGUCGGUGAAAAUUCCAACCAAGCCACACACAACUGUUAGAAUAGAUAUUUGUUUAGUUGGGUGCUGAGAGCUUUACUUCAAGGUCCCGUGUUUAAGCCCUCCGUAAGCCUCCAGGAUUCACACGCUGCAUCGGGGUAUGGCUGGUGUGAUGGGAGAUGUCAGUGCUGCCAGCCAAUGGAGCUCUGCUGGGAGCUUCUGGGAGCCCCCCACCCCAAGCCUGGAGAAUGGAGUUAAACUCUGGUUGGAUUUCCGGUGGGGGAGCCUGAGACCGCAGCACUGACCUACUGCGAAAGAGCAGACAAUCUGUAUAAAGAGAGUUCCAGGAGAUCUCGCUGGGUAUUUUCCUGUUACAAGCAUGGAAAGCCCACAUAGAGUUUGCCGACACACUAUUAUGACCCGAUUUAAUAUCCCCAGUCAUAAUAUUAGAAACCUAUAGCAUCUCGUUUCAGAGCUAACGGUUUUCAAAUGAUGAGACACGAUUUCCAUGGCCUUUUAAACAAUAACACAAGGAAGAUAAAUCUCCAACCGCAAGCCCCUCCUUUAUUUUGGACACUCAGGGAAUCAGCCUUCCCCUGGCCUGUGUCACCGAUGCUCUUUGGGAUGCAGAGUGCCCUUUGACAUCAACUUCCCACGCCACAAAUAAAAUGCAUUUCGCCUACACGGGAUUUCUGUGACUAGACUUGUUUCCUUUUGGUCUCCCCAAAAUCGGUUGUGACUUUCCUUUCCUCUCACCUCAGAAUAACUCCCUCCCCUGCAUCUGCACUUACUGGUCACUGUCGGCUUCCUCCUCUCCACGUCACUUUUUUUUUUUUUUAGCCUUCCAACCCUGAUCUCUCUGCCGUUCUCUACACAAACCACAAAACGCUAUCACUUGCCAGUGUGUCUUUUUU